CCUUUGCGGGCUGUGCCAGCAUCAUCCGCGUUGGGGGCCAGUUCUGGGCCGGGAGGGAGGCUUGUGUGGAGCAGCUCUUCUUCAUCUGCCAGUCCGGCCUCCGCCGUGCAUACCGGGAUCUCUCCACUCCCCGGCAGCCGCCGGCCUGCCCAUGGUUCGCGUGCAGCAGGAGGCCAAGAGGCACGGCAGCGACCAGCACCCCCAGAGAGG